GAUUAAUUAACUGGCCUGAGGCUGAGGAAGCUAGUCCUUGACUGAUCUGAGAAAACUCAAGCUCCUAGUUCCUGACAUGAAACAGUAGAAGCCACUCACAAGUCACAUGCAAUACUGGACCUGAGUUCAAUGGAUUUUACUCCUGAUUUACACCAAUGUGAAAGUGACUUGUACUCAAAAGGAUCCUCAAUCACUCUCCAGAACAGACUGUGUCUAACCUAAUCUCUUCAUCUACUACUGAAAUGCAGUCACCUCUGGAUUUAGCAGCAGGCAACACAUGUACCAAGAAGCACAAGUCCAUGAUUUCCAUUCUCAAUCCACUCCAUGACUCCCCAUACAUUUCAGAUUCCAGUUUCUAAAUUCUGUUAGGGCAUCCAGGCAUUGCCUUCCCAUUUUUUUAAAUCUUGCUAUGAUCUACUUAAAAGACAUAGUCUUUUUCUUCACUUCCUCCUAUAGUACCUGUCUCCUCUGCUCUUUCACACAACAUUAACACAGAUAGGGAGAGAGAACAGUCUCUAUUCAGUUCCUGUCAUCUUUGGAUGUCUCAGCCUCAUUGACUGUAUAUGGAAGUGUGAUACCCACUUUACCCAGGGCAGAAUUUUCAAAGCUUCUCCAGCAGCCUGUACCAAAUUUAAAUAUUAACCACAGCACCCUGCCCAAAGUGCUAAUGGGCAUAUAGAAUAAAGAAAAUCUGUAAAUUCAAGGCCAAGGUGGUUUGGAAAAUCACCUUCCAAAAAUGUGAUCAAUAGUAUAAAAAUGAAAUAUGAUUUUUCUUCAUAUUGGUAUAUUUUAUUAACAACUUGGUAUAUUGUCCUCAGACUCCCCACAACAGAGUCUUUGGCAGUGGACUACACAUGAUACAUAUCAGAGGCCUGAUUAGUUGUGGUCAUUUUAAGGUCUAACUUUCUUGAGUUAUUUUGGGAAGUGGCUUGGGUCCUUGUGGAAUUACAGCUUUAUAGGUUUGCUUAUGUAUUGGAUUUUGUAUGUUUGUUUG